GUAUUGGUGGUUCAGUGGUAGAAUUCUCACCUGCCAUGUAGGAGUCCUGGGUUUGAUUCCUAGCCAGUGCA
rnacentral:tRNA from 1 species